GCUGAAAGACUCACCUCCUUCUUCAACCAGGAAGGCUUCACAGCCCAGUGAUCUGAGCCAACAAUCAAUGCUGAGUUGAAGGUGCCUGUGAGCAGAGGAGAAGACACACUCGUCAGGAAGCCACGUCCAGUUCAACAGGUCCGACUGGAACAUGCCACGCAAGAUGUAUCAUGAAGAAACCUUUCAGACGUUAGGAGUUUUGGGGAAAUGACAGCAGAUUCAGCAGAACUUCUUAAAGUCUGAAGAUUUAUUGUAAGGUGUAAUUCUUCCCAGAUGUAAUUUCCCCUAUCUUGUCUGAUGUCAGGCGGCGAGAGAAAGGUCCGAUUUGGUGCGGUGAAGCCCAGAACGCUCGUUUUCGCCCACGUGCCUGAGAGUGGCAAGGAAAUAAAACAAGCACACGCUGCUGUUGAUGUUG